UGCAUAGAAUAUUCUGCCAAACAACUACGGCAAUCAAGUUUUUGCUGACACGUUCUGCUUUUAAAUGCGACGGAUAAAAACAAGUUUCACUUUGAAUAACUCCAAGAGGAGAAAGGGCCGCUUUGUCUUUUAUUCUCGACCCAAUUCAAGGAACAAGGAUGUGAACGAAAUCUACUUGCGAAGGUCACUCGGCAAAUAAUACGUCCACUAUAUAAGACGUUCCACGAUCUGGCAUCAUCACCUCACUCUCUCUCUCGACAGCCGUGGUAGCAAAGAUGAUGAAGUUCCUGUGGUUGCUGAUUGUGGUCGUGGCCCUCGUGGCUGCCGACGAUAGCAGCGACGACGACAACGCUGACGGAGUCCAGGGGCGCACUGGCGCUGCUGCUGGAGCCUCUGGGGACAAGAGGUUCUUCGGACUCGGUGGCCUGCCCAUUGGAGGGGGAUUCGGAUUCCAGGGAGGACUGGGAUUCGGAGGGGGACUUGGAGGUGGAUUUGGCCUCGGAGGGGGACUUGGAGGUGGAUUCCCCAUCGGAGGGGGACUUGGUGGACUUGGCGUCGGUUGCCGCUACUGGUGCCCGGCCAUCUACGGUCAGUACCUCUGCUGCGACCAUCUUAACCCCAACAACUUCCUCUAGGAGCAAGAGCCCGUGCUGGCAAAAGGCCACCUCAACUCCAACAACUUUCUCAAAUAAGUCUGUAGUACCUGAGAUGCUCCACUUUGAGGCAACCAUCAGCUAGAUAUCUUCUUGACCAAUGUUCUUCAUUUGCCAAAUACCUGCAUUUCCCUGUACAAAGCUCCCUUUGUAUUUAAUGUAAAUAACCGAGUGAAGUCAAUAUUCUUGGUGUUUCCAAGAAUCCGCAAUAAAUACCAAAAUGUAACAUC